rnacentral:rRNA from 1 species
ACAGACGAGGAGCUUGCUCCUCUGACGUUAGCGGCGGACGGGUGAGUAACACGUGGAUAACCUACCUAUAAGACUGGGAUAACUUCGGGAAACCGGAGCUAAUACCGGAUAAUAUAUUGAACCGCAUGGUUCAAUAGUGAAAGACGGUUUUGCUGUCACUUAUAGAUGGAUCCGCGCCGCAUUAGCUAGUUGGUAAGGUAACGGCUUACCAAGGCAACGAUGCGUAGCCGACCUGAGAGGGUGAUCGGCCACACUGGAACUGAGACACGGUCCAGACUCCUACGGGAGGCAGCAGUAGGGAAUCUUCCGCAAUGGGCGAAAGCUUGACGGAGCAACGCCGCGUGAGUGAUGAAGGUCUUCGGAUCGUAAAACUCUGUUAUUAGGGAAGAACAAAUGUGUAAGUAACUAUGCACGUCUUGACGGUACCUAAUCAGAAAGCCACGGCUAACUACGUGCCAGCAGCCGCGGUAAUACGUAGGUGGCAAGCGUUAUCCGGAAUUAUUGGGCGUAAAGCGCGCGUAGGCGGUUUUUUAAGUCUGAUGUGAAAGCCCACGGCUCAACCGUGGAGGGUCAUUGGAAACUGGAAAACUUGAGUGCAGAAGAGGAAAGUGGAAUUCCAUGUGUAGCGGUGAAAUGCGCAGAGAUAUGGAGGAACACCAGUGGCGAAGGCGACUUUCUGGUCUGUAACUGACGCUGAUGUGCGAAAGCGUGGGG